UACGAAGGGGGCUAGCGUUGCUCGGAAUCACUGGGCGUAAAGGGUGCGUAGGCGGGUCUUUAAGUCAGGGGUGAAAUCCUGGAGCUCAUCUCCAGAACUGCCUUUGAUACUGAAGAUCUUGAGUCCGGGAGAGGUGAGUGGAACUGCGAGUGUAGAGGUGAAAUUCGUAGAUAUUCGCAAGAACACCAGUGGCGAAGGCGGCUCACUGGCCCGGUACUGACGCUGAGGCACGAAAGCGUGGGGAGCAAACAGG
rnacentral:rRNA from 1 species